rnacentral:misc_RNA from 1 species
UACGUAGGUGGCAAGCGUUGUCCGGAAAUAUUGGGCGUAAAGCGCGCGCAGGCGGCCUCUUAAGUCUGAUGUGAAAGCGCCUGGCUCAACCGGGGAGGGCCAUUGGAAACUGCGAGGCUUGAGUGGAGGGGAGAAGAGGGGAAUUCCACGUGUAGCGGUGAAAUGCGUAGAGAUGUGGAGGAACACCAGUGGCGAAGGCGACUCUUUGGCCUAUAACUGACGCUGAGGCGCGAAAGCGUGGGGAGCAAACAGG